AUUAGCUCAAAAUUAUCAGAAUGCUUCAGAAUUUCUGUAGUUGUUGUCAAGAAUAAGAUAAUACACAAUGAAAGUGAUUGUUGUUAUUGCUUGUCUUAUUGUGGCAAUUACUGCCAAAUUGAACAAUUAUGAUCACUGGGUCUCUUUCAAGGCUAAACAUUCAAAACAAUACAAACUACUGGAAGAUAAACUAAGAUUCCAAAUUUUCCAAGACAACCUUCGCGAAAUCGAAGAGCACAACGCAAGAUACGCCAAAGGAGAGGUGGGUUGGUUCAAGGGGGUCACUAAAUUCGCCGAUUGGACCAAAGAAGAAUUCGAGGCUCUAUUAAAACGCCAAUCUGCUUCAAAACCCAAACUUGACAAGAGUUUGGGAGUGUAUACUGCCGAUCCAAACGUUAAGGUGCCUUCGUCUGUUGAUUGGAGGACCGAGAAUGCAGUACUGCCUGUAAGGGACCAAGGAUCCUGUGGGUCGUGUUGGGCAUUCAGUUCCGUUGGAGCUCUAGAGGGACAACUAGCAAUCAACUACAACCAAAGAGUUCCUUUGAGUCCUCAAUAUCUUGUCGACUGUUCUGAGGAAAACGAUGGAUGUGGUGGUGGAGACCAAAGGUUAGCUUUCAGGUUUCUUAAACAUAACCGUAUGCCCUCCGAAGAGGAUUAUCCAUAUACUAUGAAAGAUGAUGUUUGCCGAGAAGAUGUCAAAAUGUCUCUCGGUCCCAUCUCGGGAUACACACAUCUGAAUGCAACGGAAGAAUCUUUAAUUUCAGCUCUCGCUACCGUUGGCCCAAUCGCUGUUUCCGCUGAUGCAACUAAAUGGUCAUUAUAUGGAGGAGGAGUUUUUGAUGACGAAGAAUGUGGAAAAAAUAUAAACCAUGCCAUACUUGCUACAGGUUACACUGAUGAGUACAUUGUUAUCAAAAAUUCAUGGGGAGCAGAUUGGGGUGAAGAUGGAUACAUGAAGCUAGCAAGAGGACAAAAUACGUGCCAAAUUAACGUAGAUAAUUCAUAUCCCACUUUAUAAAUUUUAAACACAAACUUGUUAGGUAUUGUCAUAUAAAAUUUUGUAAAUAAAUAUGAUGUGUAUACAAAGUGUAGGUACCAAUAGACCAGGAAUAAUCUGUAAAAAAA
rnacentral:misc_RNA from 1 species